GGUUUAUUAAUUGGUCUCUACUUCAGAGUAAACAUCAAUUUGGGAGGGUGAACAAAGAGGAUGAAGAGAUCAGAAAUGGGGAGAAUGAAGUAAGCUGGCCUUCUGUCUUGGUAUAAAAAAAGGAAGAAAUACCUGGUCCUUGGUACAGCUCAGUCAAGAAUAUAUGAUCCACAAAUGACAAUGCCAAAUAGACUCCCUCCUGUUCUCAUAACCUACUGAAGUUGAGGUUUCACUGGACCUCAAGCCAUUCCUCUUGCUGCCCAUCACCCAGAAAAUAAUGAUUGGCCUGAAGAAAGAAUCAUGGUAAAACAUCCAAAAUUCUCAAGUCUUUCCCUGGACAAACAGGAAGGUUGAUAUUAGAGAAAGGAUAUAUAAUAGAACUACAGAACCAAAUUCUAUAGUCCAUGCUGUCCUUUGCUUAACUGAUGUCUGGUAAUUUAUAGAUAAAAUAAGGAUUUGGGAGUUGAUCAUUUGAAGUAGGUACACUAUAUUUCCACUCUUAUAUUCACUCUACAAGUGGGCCCCAUUUGUUGACAAAUUCAUUGCAAAAAUGGAAUUGGAAAAAUGAAAUUUUUGAAUACACAUGCAGGAACAUAAAUGAUGCCCCUGGUCCAUGAAUUUCCAGUCAGAAAAUGUAGCACAAUAUUCACUCAAUUAAAGGUCUGUAGGGAAAAUAGUGGCAACGAGGAAACAGAUUAAACCUAGGGAAUUGAAAUUUAUGUCAGAAGGUUGGAAAUUGGAGUAAAUUAAAUCUUGAGUAGAAUCUCCUUCCUUCCUUGUUCCUAGAUCUUUUCUACCCAUGACAAACCCCUGAAUAACUUUCUUCAUUCAGAGCAUGUGAUCACUAAUGAAGAAGAGAGAAGUCUCCAGCUUUAGAGAGAUGUAGCAUGUAAAGAUUUCUACUGUGUCACAGGAAACACUCCUGGAGAGGGCACCUCCAAAUCUGGUCAAUGUAAGGAAAGCUGUUCAGCAGAUAGGCCAUGGCACUUCUCAGUGACAUCAUCAUUAGGCCCUCCAUGAAAAAUCUCUUGCUUCCUGGAGAACACCUGCUUCCUCUGUGACAUCACAAGGUUUAUCUUGACAGAAACUACCUCCCAGAUAUUCCUCCUAUAUAUCUAUGGUUUACUAUUUGGCCUCUAAUUCGGAGUAAAGAGCCAUUUGGAAUGGAGAACAGAUAGGAUGAAGAGAUCAGAGAUGGGGAGAAGGAAUCUGGCCUUCUGUCUUGAUAUAAAAUAAAAGAAGAAAUAUGUGGUUCUUGGGAAAAUACCCUGGGAAGAUGACUCUAGUUAUGUUGUUCUCUAGGUGCACCGAGCUCUUGGAGAAGUUGCUGAACAUCCUAAAGACUUUUGGGCAGAUGGAAAAGGGCUUGUCUGUCAAAUGCUUUUCAAUCGCCAAGAAGUUUGAGGUACCUGGAGAAUGCUUCCUCCUGUUCAUCCUCAUCCUGCUCUCAUGGCCUUUGUUAUCUGCACCAGUCCAUCUCUACACACCCCCAUGUACAUUUUUCUGAUGAACUUACGUAUCCUGAAAUUUGGUUACACUAGUUCUGUCAUACACAAUAUAUGGAGAGACUUGAAAGUGAGAUCUGAGGAAUCUCUCAGGAGGGAUGUGCCACACAGACGUUUUUCUUCACACUUUUUGUAUAAUUCAGUGCUGCCUAUUGCCAGCCAUGGCCUUUGUCCACUGUAUGGCCCUGCUUCAUUCUGCAGCCCAAAUGAGUAGUGAGAUGACAGAUAUCCUCCUAAUGCUUACCUGCGAUAAGCGAAGCAAGAAACACUUUGUGGUAUCUGUGUCAAGUACAUAUAAUCUCAACCUAAAAGAGGAAAACCACUGGGCAAAUCCAAAUUCAGAGACAUUCUUGCAAGGUGAAGAAUGGAGUAUCCACAAAUGACAAUACCAAAUAUACUCCCUCCUGUUCUUAUGAUCCUAUUGAGGUUGAGGUUUUACUGGAACUCAAGCCAUUCUUUUCCCUUCUCAUCAUCCUGUAUCUAUUGUUUGGCUUGAAGAAAGUAUCAUUGUAAAACAUCCAAAAGCCUGAAGUCUCACCCUUGGAACACAGGAAGCAAAACUCUCAAAUAUCAUCCUGGGUGACGAUGUAGAUUAGACCCAUCAGAUGAAAUGAAGAAUUGAAAAACUCUCCUGGGGAUGAAAAUGAACCAGAAUUUUGCCACAGAUAUACAUACGGAGUGCGAGCCACUGUUCAGUGCAUUCCUGCUUGGCUUUAUUUCAUUCAGUGCCUGUGCUGGUACUGUGACACAAGAAGAGCCUUUUCUCAUCCAGUAAAUGCUGCCUGGCAAAUACUCUACGACUUUCUUCAUCGUGACAUUUCCAGCCCUUUACAGCACCCACAAAGAACAAAGUCACUCUGACACCAUGGUGUUCUUUUACCUGUGGUCAUCCUUUGCAUCAUCAGCUCCUGCUAUAUCCUCAUCUGGGAUCUCAAGAUGGACUGGGGUUUCUUUGAUAAGAAUGCAGGAGAUAACAAUUUCCUCUGUCAAGAAAUUUUAUACCCCCAAAAAGCAUGUGUGGAACAUUUACACUUAUCUUAGAUAUAUCUUUAGAUAGGUCAUACAGCAGUACUGACACAGGUCUAGUUAACUAAUAUGAUUACAAAACAAUUAUCCCAGAUACCAAUAUAGUCCACAAAACACCGUAUCUGUUUCUUUUUUGUGUAGUAGAGCCAGUGGGACAUUUGUUAGAAUUGAGUGCCAACCCAAUAAAA